rnacentral:lncRNA from 1 species
AGGAAUAGUCCCUGUUCAAUAAAUCUUUUGUGUUAUUAGAGAAAAUCAGGAGAAGGGGGAACUAUUUCAUAGGACUUGUGAGAAACUGAACAAAAAGACCUUAGGGGAAAAAAAAAAAGGUGUUGAAGUGAAGACAAGUAAUCUCAUGUCAACAGGGAGCAACACUUUAAACUCAGUGGAGCAACAGACAGCUAUCUCCAAAGAAUGCUGGUGGCUGCUGUCCAUCAUCUGCUGGUGAACUGAUCAUGUGUAUAUCAAGUUCAAAUUUACAAUUUAACUGGUUAAUAGCUGUGGCCUUGAAACUGUGUUAAUAAUGUAAAAGGGAGCUGUCCUUAAAAGCAAUGCAGAAAGAGCUAAAGGCAUCUCCUGCAGUGAGACUACCACUCACCAGGUCACAAGGGCACUACUUGAAAUUUUCAAUCUGCUCUAAAAAUGGUAAGUAACACCUACAGUACAUUGCUAUUAGAGUAAGAACACACCAUAAUAAAUGUUAAAACAAAUACUCA